rnacentral:rRNA from 1 species
UUCUGGCUCAGGAUGAACGCUAGCUACAGGCUUAACACAUGCAAGUCGAGGGGCAGCAUUGGAGUAGCAAUACUCAGAUGGCGACCGGCGCACGGGUGAGUAACACGUAUCCAACCUGCCGCUUACUCGGGGAUAGCCUUUCGAAAGAAAGAUUAAUACCCGAUGGUAUAAAGAGUUCGCAUGUUCUCUUUAUUAAAGAAUUUCGGUAAGCGAUGGGGAUGCGUUCCAUUAGAUAGUUGGCGGGGUAACGGCCCACCAAGUCUACGAUGGAUAGGGGUUCUGAGAGGAAGGUCCCCCACAUUGGAACUGAGACACGGUCCAAACUCCUACGGGAGGCAGCAGUGAGGAAUAUUGGUCAAUGGACGCGAGUCUGAACCAGCCCAAGUAGCGUGAAGGAUGACUGCCCUAUGGGUUGUAAACUUCUUUUAUAAGGGAAUAAAGUGAGGGACGUGUCCCUUUUUGUAUGUACCUUACGAAUAAGGAUCGGCUAACUCCGUGCCAGCCGCCGC